rnacentral:rRNA from 1 species
ACGAAAUGGCUUUAUUCGACCCGUCUUGUAACACGGACCAAGGAGUCUAACAUAUCUGCGAGUAUUUGGGUGUCAAACCCGAGUGCGCAAUGAAAGUGAACGUAGGAGCGAUGCGCAAGCUGCAGCUUCGACCGAUCUGGAUCUUUAGUGAUGGAUUUGAGUAAGAGCAUAUAUGUUGGGACCCGAAAGAUGGUGAACUAUGCCUGAAUAGGGCGAAGCCAGAGGAAACUCUGGUGGAGGCUCGUAGCGAUUCUGACGUGCAAAUCGAUCGUCAAAUUUGGGUAUAGGGGCGAAAGACUAAUCGAACCAUCU